rnacentral:rRNA from 1 species
CAGUAGCCGCGGGAACACGUAGGUGGCAAGCGUUGUCCGGAUUUACUGGGCGUAAAGCGAACGCAGGCGGACUGUUAAGUAGGAAGUGAAAGGUCGGAGCUCAACUCCAACAUUGCUUCCUAUACUGGCAGUCUUGAGUAGUGGAGAGGAAGGGGGAACGACACGUGUAGCGGUGAAAUGCGUUGAUAUGUGUCGGAACACCCAUGGCGAAAGCACCCUUCUGGACGCAAACUGACGCUCAGGUUCGAAAGCCAAGGUAGCGAACAGGAUUAGAUACCCGCGUAGUCCCUGUCUCUUAUAC